GCUGGGACUGGGAAAAAGAGGUCCCCUGUUGCUGUCCAUGCGGCCCUGUCCCCUCCCCACUGAGCAGGGUGCGCCUCGUUUCAUCACAGCUGACGUGUGUCCAGGGGAGGGUUUCUGAGACCUAGAACAUAGCCUGUGUUUUGUAGACCAGGCUGUUAUUAUUAGGGAAACCUUAAACCUGUCUGAAGACAAUCAGGAAACAUUCUCUGGGCAUCUGCGGUGUGUUUCCCUCCUCCCUGUGAUCUGUGUCCCCUGAAGCCGACUCCGCCCCCGCUCUGGCUUCCAGCUGGAGAUUGGAGGCUGUGAAGAGAAUGUACCUGCCAGCCCACUGCUCAGGCCCCUUUGACCUUGUCUUGUCAUUGUAUAUUUUAAUUGCUUGGAAUAAAUAUUAGAAUGCUAAUUAAAAGAUUGUGUUUUAAAAAAUUAAA